rnacentral:rRNA from 1 species
UAAGUAGGUAGUGAAAUGAUGGGGCUCAACCCCAUGUCCAUUAUCUAAACUGCUCAGCUAGAGUAUGAGAGAGGUGGCUGGAAGUUUCUGGUGUAGGAGUGAAAUCCGUAGAUAUUAGAAGGAACACCGAUGGCGUAGGCAGGCCACUGGCUCAUUACUGACGCUCAGGCACGAAAGCGUGGGAGCGACCGGAUUAGAUACCCCGUUAGUCCACGCCGUAAACGAUGGAUGCUA